GGGUGGAAACGGGGGGAGGGGUUCGAGAUGGGGUGGGAUUGUAGACGCGUACGCACCCUCGUUUGACCUACAUAACUCGACCUAUAUUUCAAGGAAGCUUACAACGUGGCGAUCGGCCACGAGGACUGCACCCUUUGUUGACGUAUCGUGCAUACUUUCACGAUUAUUUAACUGACCUAAGUGAACGAAAGUUUAAGAUAGAAUAACUUAAAAAAAAAAAAAAAAACAAAAAAAGAAAAAUGGAAAAGAAUAGAAAACGAAAAGAAAAAGAAGGCUCUCUUGAAACAUAAUUUCAAAGUAAACCCUCUUUGGGCUAUAUAUUCAUAUAUAGAUAUCUAUGUAUAGGGGUGUACAUGUGUAUAUAUAUAUAUAUAUAUAUAUAUAUAUAUAUAUAUAUGUAUAUACGGCUUCCGUCGUUGUGUUCUCGUGUCUCAUUAAAUUAUUUACGUCCUAUUGAUUUUUCCUACUUCAUAAUUGACGUUCCCCGUUCGUUCUAUCCGUGAUCCUCUCUUUAUUCGCCUAACUUUUUUAUUUAUCGUUUCUUGACAUAUCAUCAUCUAGACGUUUUAAAUAUCAAUAUUUGUCAAUCGUACGAAAUUAAUUAAUUAAAAUUUAUCAGAAUCGAUAUAUUACUUUUCUUUAUCGUUGUCACUUCUUUAUUAACAUUUAAAAAUGCUUUACGAUAUCUAUGCCACUUUUCUUUUUUUUUUUUUUUUUUUUUUUUUUUUAGGAGACACAGAACAAAAAAGCAAACGAUCUAAAGAAUCGUCCCAGCUAAUCCUUAUUAUUUAUAUUCGAAGUGUUACCUUACAAUAAUGAUCUAGAUCGAUUUAAAAGAACAAUUUACGCGUUAAUCGUGCACGCCUUAAAUGAUCCUUACGAUCUUCCCAGUAUUUUUAUUAUUACUUUUCAACGAUAACCCCAUAAACGAAAAAAGAGAGAGAGAGAGAGAGAGAGAGAGAGAGAGAGAGAGAGAGAGAGAGAGAGAGAGAGAAAUAAAUGAUCUGUGGAUCGUUCUACAUAUAAAAAAAAAGAAAAAAAAAAAAAAAAGAAAAAGCAAACGAAACCAAAAAAACGAAAAAACUUACUCGAUGUAAGAGAGACCGUCGAAAGAGUAAAGGAAGAAAAGAAAAAAAAAAUAAAGAAGAAAAACGAAGGAAGAAAAAGAAAGAAAGUGUAAAGAAGAAGAGACAGAAAAGCACGUUGGUGUUACGAGUGCAGUGGCCUGGAGUGUCUUGGGGGUUGGUUUAGAGGGGAAGAGAAGGAAGGGGUUGUGGAUCGAUAUAGUUACGGGGGUGUCGUCCGGCUUCCUCUAUACCGUACGCCGCCUUGCGGUAGAAUCGUGAACCUCAAACGACACCCAGCCAGUGUAUAUGAUGUAUCAAGCGACCCUCGUCAGGAAGAACGAGAUCCACGUUGCCUGGUGGUGGUGUUGGUGGUGGUGGAGCUGGUGCUGGUGCUGUUACUGUUACUGGUGCUGGUGCUGGUGCAAGCACUGGUGCAAGUACUGGUGCUGGUGCUAUUGCUCGUGUUGGAAUUGGUGUUGAUGUUGGUGUUGGUGGUGGUGGUUGUAUUGGUGGUGGUAGCAACGAGCCGGCACUGAUCUCAGAGCUCGUGUCUUGUCUCAGUCAGUCUCAGUACGCGGAGAAACAGCCGUCUGAUCGGUUGACUAAUUUGAUCGUCGACUCUUUUUGCUAACGUUUGUUACGUCGUUAUACCCAAAUUAAAACUCAAUUCGUUUAAUUUGAAUCUGAAGUGUUUAACAGUUUUUAAACAUAUAGUUUUAUCAGUCCUUUCGUCGUUUUUUCUUCUCUUUUUGCUUUCUUUUCCAUGCCUUUUUUUUCUUUUUUUUUUUUUUCUUUUUUUUUCUUGUUUUUCCUCUCAAUAGGAAGCUUUUAGUCUUUGAAUAAGAUUGUUGAUAAGGGAUUAAAUAAAAAUAAUGUUAACGAAAAAAAUGAAUUAUCGAAUUAAGGAAAAUCUUUUGAAUUAACAAUCCAA